GUUGGAGCUCAGUGGUAGAGCAUUUGCCUAGCAUGUGUGAGGUCUUGGGUUCGAGCCUCAGUACCACA
rnacentral:tRNA from 1 species